UGAGAGCAAAUAGGAGAGCCUGGUUUCAUU
rnacentral:piRNA from 1 species